rnacentral:sRNA from 1 species
GGACGCCUGCGCAUUGUGUCGCCGACGUUGUGUAGUCUCCCCUGGCAAAGGAGAGUCAGGCGAGUCCACGUGAGGGAAGCCCCCGCUGUGCGCGGAGCCCUCUGCUGGGCGGAGGGGGAGUGCCAGCCCCCAGGAGCUAAUCCCCGGCUGAUGGCGCAGGGCGCGGGGCUUGGCCGUGGAGUGUGAUGAAGGAGGCGACCCCCAAGGUGGGAAGGAGCACGGGUUGGGGUUUGAGGGUGGAUGAUUGGUGACGGAGGGUGUAUCUUCAGGAGGAGGUUCGAGUGAAGAUCAAAGACUUGAAUGAACACAUUGUUUGCUGCCUAUGCGCCGGCUACUUCGUGGAUGCCACCACCAUCACAGAGUGUCUUCAUACUUUCUGCAAGAGUUGUAUUGUGAAGUACCUCCAAACUAGCAAGUAUUGCCCCAUGUGCAACAUUAAGAUCCACGAGACACAGCCACUGCUCAACCUCAAACUGGACCGGGUCAUGCAGGACAUCGUGUAUAAGCUGGUGCCUGGCUUGCAAGACAGUGAAGAGAAACGGAUUCGGGAAUUCUACCAGUCCCGAGGUUUGGACCGGGUCACCCAGCCCAGUGGGGAAGAGCCAGCACUGAGUAACCUCGGCCUCCCCUUCAGCAGCUUUGACCACUCUAAAGCCCACUACUAUCGCUAUGAUGAGCAGCUGAACCUGUGCCUGGAGCGGCUGAGUUCUGGCAAAGACAAGAAUAAAAGCGUCCUGCAGAACAAGUAUGUCCGAUGUUCUGUUAGAGCUGAGGUACGCCAUCUCCGGAGGGUCCUGUGUCACCGCUUGAUGCUAAACCCUCAGCAUGUGCAGCUCCUUUUUGACAAUGAAGUUCUCCCUGAUCACAUGACAAUGAAGCAGAUAUGGCUCUCCCGCUGGUUCGGCAAGCCAUCCCCUUUGCUUUUACAAUACAGUGUGAAAGAGAAGAGGAGGUAGGGGCCAAGCCCCCACCCCAUCCCACUCCCCUUCCCUUCCCAGAUAUUUAUGUGAAAUGAACUGCAGCUUUAUUUUUUGAAAUAAAAACUUUUAAAAAGCA